AACGAACGCUGGCGGCAUGCCUAACACAUGCAAGUCGAGCGAAGCCUUCGGGCUUAGCGGCGGACGGGUGAGUAACGCGUGGGAACGUGCCCUUUGGUACGGAAUAGCCCCGGGAAACUGGGAGUAAUACCGUAUGUGGUCGAGAGACGAAAGAUUUAUCGCCAAAGGAUCGGCCCGCGUUGGAGUAGGUAGUUGGUGGGGUAAUGGACUACCAAGCCGACGAUCCAUAGCUGGUUUGAGAGGAUGAUCAGCCACACUGGGACGGGGACACGGCCCAGACUCCUACGGGAGGCAGCAGUGGGGAAUCUUGGAAAAUGGGGGAAACCAUGAUCUAGCCAUGCCGCGUGAUCGAUGAAGGCCUUAGGGUUGUAAAGAUCUUUCAGUGGGGAAGAUAAUGACUGUACCCACAGAAGAGGCCCCGGCUAACUCCGUGCCAGCCGCCGCAGUAACAC
rnacentral:rRNA from 1 species